rnacentral:snoRNA from 1 species
AUCCUAUGAUGAGGAAACUCGAGUAUGUAGUCUUAAAAAUGCUCCCAAGCUUCUAGAACUGUCUCAUCAUGUUGUUGUUAAAAACUUGAUAUCUUUCCACGAAGAGC